rnacentral:rRNA from 1 species
AAUAGAUACCCCGGUAGUCCACGCUGUAAACGAUGGUCACUAGGUGUUGCGGGUAUCGACCCUCGCAGUGCCGUAGCUAACGCGUUAAGUGACCCGCCUGGGGAGUACGGUCGCAAGACUGAAACUCAAAGGAAUUGACGGGGGCCCGCACAAGCGGUGGAGGAUGUGGUUUAAUUCGACGCAACGCGAAGAACCUUACCAAGGCUUGACAUCCACAGAACCCUCUAGAAAUAGAGGGGUGCCCGCAAGGGAGCUGUGAGACAGGUGGUGCAUGGCUGUCGUCAGCUCGUGUCGUGAGAUGUUGGGUUAAGUCCCGCAACGAGCGCAACCCUCGUGGUUAGUUGCCAACAGGUCAAGCUGGGCACUCUAGCCAGACUGCCGAUGACAAAUCGGAGGAAGGUGGGGACGACGUCAAGUCAUCAUGCCCCUUACGUCUUGGGCUACACACGUCCUACAAUGGCCGGCACAAAGGGCAGCAAGCCAGCGAUGGCAAGCGAAUCCCAAAAAUCCGGCCUCAGUUCAGAUUGC